rnacentral:rRNA from 1 species
AAAUUGAAGAGUUUGAUCAUGGCUCAGAUUGAACGCUGGCGGCAGGCCUAACACAUGCAAGUCGAACGGUAACAGGAAGCAGCUUGCUGCUUCGCUGACGAGUGGCGGACGGGUGAGUAAUGUCUGGGAAACUGCCUGAUGGAGGGGGAUAACUACUGGAAACGGUAGCUAAUACCGCAUAAUGUCGCAAGACCAAAGAGGGGGACCUUCGGGCCUCUUGCCAUCGGAUGUGCCCAGAUGGGAUUAGCUUGUUGGUGGGGUAACGGCUCACCAAGGCGACGAUCCCUAGCUGGUCUGAGAGGAUGACCAGCCACACUGGAACUGAGACACGGUCCAGACUCCUACGGGAGGCAGCAGUGGGGAAUAUUGCACAAUGGGCGCAAGCCUGAUGCAGCCAUGCCGCGUGUAUGAAGAAGGCCUUCGGGUUGUAAAGUACUUUCAGCGGGGAGGAAGGGAGUAAAGUUAAUACCUUUGCUCAUUGACGUUACCCGCAGAAGAAGCACCGGCUAACUCCGUGCCAGCAGCCGCGGUAAUACGGAGGGUGCAAGCGUUAAUCGGAAUUACUGGGCGUAAAGCGCACGCAGGCGGUUUGUUAAGUCAGAUGUGAAAUCCCCGGGCUCAACCUGGGAACUGCAUCUGAUACUGGCAAGCUUGAGUCUCGUAGAGGGGGGUAGAAUUCCAGGUGUAGCGGUGAAAUGCGUAGAGAUCUGGAGGAAUACCGGUGGCGAAGGCGGCCCCCUGGACGAAGACUGACGCUCAGGUGCGAAAGCGUGGGGAGCAAACAGGAUUAGAUACCCUGGUAGUCCACGCCGUAAACGAUGUCGACUUGGAGGUUGUGCCCUUGAGGCGUGGCUUCCGGAGCUAACGCGUUAAGUCGACCGCCUGGGGAGUACGGCCGCAAGGUUAAAACUCAAAUGAAUUGACGGGGGCCCGCACAAGCGGUGGAGCAUGUGGUUUAAUUCGAUGCAACGCGAAGAACCUUACCUGGUCUUGACAUCCACGGAAGUUUUCAGAGAUGAGAAUGUGCCUUCGGGAACCGUGAGACAGGUGCUGCAUGGCUGUCGUCAGCUCGUGUUGUGAAAUGUUGGGUUAAGUCCCGCAACGAGCGCAACCCUUAUCCUUUGUUGCCAGCGGUUCGGCCGGGAACUCAAAGGAGACUGCCAGUGAUAAACUGGAGGAAGGUGGGGAUGACGUCAAGUCAUCAUGGCCCUUACGACCAGGGCUACACACGUGCUACAAUGGCGCAUACAAAGAGAAGCGACCUCGCGAGAGCAAGCGGACCUCAUAAAGUGCGUCGUAGUCCGGAUUGGAGUCUGCAACUCGACUCCAUGAAGUCGGAAUCGCUAGUAAUCGUGGAUCAGAAUGCCACGGUGAAUACGUUCCCGGGCCUUGUACACACCGCCCGUCACACCAUGGGAGUGGGUUGCAAAAGAAGUAGGUAGCUUAACCUUCGGGAGGGCGCUUACCACUUUGUGAUUCAUGACUGGGGUGAAGUCGUAACAAGGUAACCGUAGGGGAACCUGCGGUUGGAUCACCUCCUUA